rnacentral:misc_RNA from 1 species
AAAAGGCACAAUGCACAUUCCAAGUCUAAAAGAUCAAAGCGGAAACUGAGACAGGCUGCCAUUGUCCCAUUAGCUUAUGCCAAGGUAAUGAAGAAGCUCAACUUUUGCGGUUAGAUUAUUUGGUUUAAUCCUCCUCUUGUGUUAGUGUAUGGAUUGUACGAGCUUCAAUAUCAGCAUUCAGCUGCCUUCUCCUUUUUCCUCUUUUGGAUUUAAAAUUCAGAGCCUCAGAACAAACUAAGAUGGAGAAUAAUUAUU